UGAUUGUACAUACAUUGAAAAAAUUGAUAAACAAUUAUGAGUAAGUAAUCAUAGGCACAACCUAAACCAAUGCAUGAAAAUAGAAAAAAUACGGUAGAUAUAAACAUGGCAGGAAGUUGGUUAAAUGCGUGACUUCCUUACACAUGUCUUGAAUUAAUACACUCACCGAGUGUAUUACACUAUACUUUGAAUCGAUCAAACAUCAAAUUUAAAUUUUCCUUAAAAUUACCAGUUAAAUCAAGAACACGAUAAAUUGUUGUUUUCAAGCGAAUAUUUAACGAAGUACUGUCGAAACAAAAGGAGUUAACAUGUAAAACCAAUCGUAUAAAAUACUAUUUUUACGAACUUUUAGCGUUCAACGAUUGAAUCCGUAAAGUGAAAGCGGAUAUUCGAUCAUACGAGGUUUCGUACGCUUGGUUGAGGUCAUUGUUCGUGCAGGCGCGUCCGACGAGAUUUUUCAUUCCGAAUUCAUCCGAAUGCAAACGACUUUAUCCGACUUUGGUUGAUCGUAAUCGAAACACGUGAUUGGCGGAAAGACGAUGCGAUGACGAAAAACGCGAGUGACAGUUACGGAAUGAUUUUACGCUACUUUCGAAUAUUUCAAUGAUUUUACAUAUUCGUUCGUACAAUUCCUAUUAUAAAAUAAACAACAAACUGGCCGUCGUGCAACUUGUCGACCAAAAUUAUCAAUCGUUGUCGAUGCAAAUAAUUUUCGCAGAAUAUGAUUAAAAAAAAAGCAUGUCACAAGUGGCACGUCGGUUAAAUAGCGAGUAAGCGAGAGAAAGAGAAAGAAAAAGUGCGGGGGAGAAAAGGGAGAAAGACUCAACGCGAAAGACAGGCAUCGACGCGUUGCAGACGUAUCUCGGACGUGUACGAUCGAACACGUCACGUAGAAACGAAAUACGUGUUGGCGGUACGCGUUCAAGUUUUAUCUUUCAUUCAAAAAUGUUUUAAUUACGGAAAAACGUGUGGUUUUACCUAGCCUUUUGUGACGGCAACGAUACGUUGUAUUUUACAUUUGAGAGGAUUAGUAUUUUGCGGUCCGUUGACGUCAUAGGAUACUGUCGCGCCUAUUUUGACGUCGCAGUCCGUUGUACUCUGCAGUCGAGGUUCAGCAACGCAGACUUUAUCGGUGUGUAAAUAUACCUUUAAAACGCGUAAAAUCUGCGAACCAUAGAAUUGCAAAGUGUUCACCAUGUGGUGAUGGUAUUAUUAAAAAAAAAAAAAAAAAAAUAAAUAAGAAUAAAUAAAUAAACAGGAGGAACCAAAACGGAAGAGUGAGGCGAAGAGAAAGAAAGCAUUUUGUUCAGUGUCUGUUAGUGAACUCGUCAGGGAGGUUAUCUGGAUAAUAACUAUAUGGUUAAAAAUUAUACGCAUACAAAAAGUUCCACUUAAUCCGAACAUCUAAAAUAUUGUUUUUGAUGACAGAAAAGUGGAAAAAAUACGAUUCAGUUAUAACGUGGUAUUCAGUGACGGAUUUAUAUACAAACAGUAAGGACAAAUACUUUAGGCCACGUAAGGCGGGGACCUCCAUACAAUUAAUAUCUACCAGUUUUUAUCGAUAUAUGUAUAAUUACGAUUUCAAUAUUGUUUCUGUUUCGAUUCAAACUGGUAAGGACAUAGAAAUGUAGAAAUCUGAAAAUAUAAAAAUAUAAAAAUGCAGAAUUUCUAGGGGAAAUGUGCUUUAGAAAUAUAUUCGUGAAUAGACAAUAGACAAAUACAUACAUUUCUUUACCGUAUAAAUGGAGGCAAAAAAUUUUGUAAUGCCUUAAAUCACGCGAAGGAUAAAUCCGUCAGUGAUCGUAUUAAAAAAAAAAAAAAAAUUGGAAAAAUUGAAAAGAAAUAUUUUGUGCAGUAAAGCUAAUCGAGACACCCUAUAUGUAAAAACAGGUAGUUACGCGAGGACUUUCGAGAGAUCAUCUGUCUAGGCUUUGUGUCAAUGUCCCUCUAGUGAUAAACGCGAAGACUAUGUUACGUUACUCUCGCUAACAGUAACGUAUGUAUUUUCCUGAAGAAGUCGUUUCGGUGCCUACGUUAUCGCGUUGCAUCACCGUGUUAUCGUUUCAGUAUGUCCGUAGUUUGUGAAAAACAUUAAACGUAUUACCUGAGCAAUAUAUUUCGCUAUUUUAGCACGGCCGCGAGAGUUAUGUCGCUGACCAUCACAGUGAAUUUCUAAUUACAUAGCAAGGUCUUUGGUCGAUCGUGUGGCGAUCGAAGGGGUUCAUGCGUGCCGGUGAAUGACUAUUCUAGAGGAAAAAUUACCUUCAAAUUCUGAUCCCGUUCACACAGCAGAUGCGUUGUUUCCUGUCAUCACAUCGAACAUUAAGAAUACAGUAGCUCGAAAAUAUAUGUUUAGCUUUUAUAUACUUUACAACGAGAGAAACGAAAGGUUAGGACUCUCACACGUGCUAUUCGUUUGAACAUGUAUACAGAAAAACGGACGUAAACGAGCAUAUGUAUUUUAUGUACGAAAACGAAAGUAGGUAGAUUUGUCGACAGUGUUCGAACGAACAAAAAAGUAGUACAUACGUAAAAGCGCUGCACGCUAAAAUUAGUCCGAUCGUUUUGAAUUUAUUGUAUUUUCUUUAAAUAAGAAACCUUUAAAUAUGUCUCUCAUAUUUUCGGACCAACAAAAAUGAAUAUAUAUAUAUUUAUUUUUUUAUUUUAAACGCGCAUCUUUAAAAAUUGGUAGGAACCGUAAUCGGUUGAGUAUUCGUAUCUCAAGCAUGUACUUAGUCCGAUGUUUUCAGUUCUAAAAGACCAAACCAAUCAGGAGUAAGAAUUCGAACAACGACCGAACGUGAGCGAACUUUCACGAACACUAUCGGUAUCGAACGACGGCGAGUAUUUGUUCGUGCUUAGUCGCGGCUGUUCGCUUGAUCCGUGAACACGUAAAACAUUGCGUCGCGUCGCGUUGUGUCGUGUCUUGUCGGGAAGCUCGAGUGACUUCGGGAGGUCCACGGCAGCGCCAUCAGUCGUUCUUCUUUGGUAUUAAUGCUCUGUUGGGCGACGGUGUCCGUCCGCCACAACCGUCUUUAAUGGACGUGUCGCACCGCUCGAAGAAACAACGCCGACAGAGAUGUUGAAGUUUAUCAGAGGGAAGGGCCAACAACCUACGGCCGAACGACAGAAACUACAAAAGGAUCUUUUUGCUUUUCGAAAGACGGUGCAGCAUGGCUUCCCAAACAAACCAACAGCUCUAGCAUGGGAUCCAAGCUUGCGACUGAUGAUCAUUGGCACGGCGUCCGGAGCCAUCAAGGUAUUUGGCAGGCCGGGUGUCGAAUUCUAUGGACAACACACCAUCGAGAGCGGGGAACACGCUGUCACGAAGAUCGUCGCGCUGCCUAACGAGGGUCGCGUGGUGUCGUUGUGCGAUGACAAUUCUCUUCACCUGUGGGAGAUCAACGAGAGUUCGGUGGUCGAAACGAAAUCGCUUUCGUUGGAAGGAAAACUGAAGAAAAUUUCGGCGAUGUGUCUCGAGUCAAGCGGCGAACAUCUGCUUCUGGGAACGGAAGGAGGCAAUAUUUACCUGCUGAAUUUGAAAACGUUCUUGGUGCCAGACAAUAUCAUCUACCAGGAUGUCGUAAUGCAAAAUGUACCAGAUGAUUACAAGAAGAAUCCAGGUGCGGUCGAGGCAAUAGCGGAACAACCGGGUCAUCCGGACAAUAUUCUGAUAGGUUACAAUCGUGGCUUGAUGGUUCUAUGGAACAAAGCGACUCCUGGCGCUCAACAGCUGAUGGGUUUGUUUUCGCGUGCGCAGACAUUCGUCUCCACGCAGCAGUUGGAAUCUGUCCAUUGGGUCUCCGAGACCCGUUUCGUUUCCUCGCACAACGACGGAUCGUACGCGUUUUGGAGUCCAGGAAGCGAUGCUAUGCUGGAAUCGACCACUCCCUAUGGACCGUUCCCGUGCAAAGCCGUUACCAAGAUCCUAGUCUAUCCAACUGCCGAGCACGGGGAACUUGUUUUAUUUUCGGGUGGAAUGCAACGUGCCAGUUACGGUGAUCGUCACACGAUCACCGUCAUGACAAAGGAGAAACACGUGGUCUUUGAUUUCACCUCGAAAGUGAUCGAUUUCUUCACCGUGUUCCCGAAGCAACAGGACGAUAAAGAGACUCCCGACGAUGGCCCGGAAGCGCUCAUAGUCUUGGCCGAAGAAGAAGUGGUAGCCAUCGAUUUAAUUAAUCCUGAAUGGAAGAUGAUGGCCUUACCUUACUUGGUGUCUCUCCACGCUAGCGCGGUGACCUGUUCGCAACACGUCCCGAACGUGCCCGAAGAAUUAUGGGACAGUAUCGUGGCCGCUGGAAAAGCACAGACCGAGCAUUUAUAUUCGGACAGAGCAUGGCCUAUAGACGGCGGUAUCAUUCUUAACCAGAAAUCGGCCAACGAGAAACCGAAAGGAAGAGAAUUGUUGCUUACCGGCCACGAGGAUGGAACCGUCAGAUUCUGGAACGCGUCCGACGUAGCUUUGACGCCUCUCUAUAAAUAUAAUUCAUCUAUACUGUUCACCGGCGAACACUUGGACGUUCUCGAACAACCACCGGAGGACGACGAGAACGAAUGGCCGCCGUUUAGAAAAGUCGGAACGUUCGAUCCGUACUCGGAUGAUCCGCGACUCGCCGUCAAAAAGGUUUUACUUUGUCCUCUCUCCUCGACGUUGGUGGUUGCUGGCACGGCUGGUCACGUGAUCACAGCUACCGUAUCCUCCGAGCCAGCUAACAAAGAAAUCAAGGCUGUUACGAUGAACAUUGUAAACGAUCGUGAUGGAUUCGUGUGGAAAGGUCACGAUCAUCUGCCAGUAAGAACGACCAGCAUAUCUUUCGCGGUCGGUUUCCAACCACAAAGUCUUCUUCAAUUAUAUCCACCGGCUGCGGUCACCGCGUUGGCUAUACACAGUGAAUGGGGAUUACUGGCUGCUGGCACGGCCCACGGUUUGGCAGUUUUCGAUUACACGAGAGCGAAGGCUGUUAACGUUAAGUGCACGCUCAAUCCAAACGAUCUUUCUGGAGCGGGUGAUACGCCUAUUUCUAGACGAAAAUCGUUUAAGAAGUCGUUGAGAGAGUCUUUUAGAAGAUUAAGGAAAGGGAGAUCGCAGCGUAGAGCGACGACUGCUGGUAGUCCGACGAGAAAUCCUACGGAAAAGAAGAAAGAUGUUUCCAGUGUCGCGUCUUCACCGAUCGGCGAUCUCUCGCCGAUAGAGUUGAAACCUGUAGAAAGACAAGUCGAAGCGAGACCAGUAGACGACGCAUUGGGCUCGAUGGUUCGAUGUUUAUAUUUUGCUAGGAGUUAUAUCAUAAGCAUGCAAAAUACAACCCCUACACUUUGGGCGGGUACCAAUAACGGUACGGUCUAUGUAUUCACCUUAGCGAUUCCCGCCGGUGUUAGAAGAACGGAGGAGGAUGUAAAUUGUACAUUAGGAAAAGAGAUUCAAUUAAAGCACAGAGCGCCGGUGAUCGCUAUAACGAUUCUCGAUGGAUCUAGCGUUCCGCUACCGGAGCCGUUCGAAGCCGAAAAAGGUGUGAGUCCUGGUCCCGACAUGGCAUCUCCUCACAGAGUCGUGAUCGCUAGCGAGGAACAAUUCAAAAUCUUCAAUCUUCCGUCGUUGAAACCUUAUUGUAAAUACAAGCUUACCGCGCACGAGGGUUCGCGUGUAAGGAAAACAGGUUUUGCAAAAUUCUCCUGUCCAGUUGAACCUGCCGGCACGCACGAAGAAACUUGUUUAUUAUGCCUGACCAAUCUCGGAGAUUGUUUACUGCUCAGUAUUCCAGAAUUGAGAAGGCAGCUUAACGCAGCGGCCAUUAAACGAGAAGAUAUCAACGGAAUUUCCUCGCUAACCUUUACGAAAGCUGGUGAAGCUUUGUACCUGCACUCCAGUUCGGAACUUCAACGAAUUUCAUUGUCGACCAGUAAAGUAACGAAAGCGAAUUGCGCUCUCAAUUUACCGCCAAAUGCUAGAUCGUACCCGGAAGCUGACAGCGAAGAGACGCAAGAGCAAGGGAUCGUCGAAGGAGCGGCUGAAACGGAAGGAGAGACGGCGCAAGGAAGUCAACCGACCACGGUACAGAGGACGAUCGUAGAAAACGGUGUAGUCGGUUCCACCGACGGUGAAGAAUCUCCGAAAGAACCUUCUUUGCAACCAGCUGCAAGCACCAACGAUGUCAACGGAGAGGAUGAUCGUCAAGACUUGAGUUCUAUAGGAGACAUCACGAUCGAUAGCGUGAAGGAUCACUUACUCAAAUCUACUGCCAAUGGAGAAGUCGAAACAAGCGAAACAAGCGAGACACAACAAUUAAACAGCACUACAGUAGAGAGAGAGAUACGCAGCGGUACUGAGACUACAACGACACACGCUACCAUCACUCUACCUCCAAACGUCGAGGUCAGCAAACGGCAUUGAGUGCAAUUGCGUUACUUGGUGUCGGAUCUUGCCUCGAUAAUUAACCUUAUACCGUUAACGCUUAGUAUAUUUGUAUGCUAUAUAUUUAAUGUAUGGUUAAAAGGUUUAGAGAAAUUAAUUAUUCAGAAUCCAUGAAUGCCCCUGUGUUAAUAAUGGAGUACCCUUAUUUAUAUAAAAUUUCUUGUAUACUAACUUCGCGAUACAUUCAAAUUAUUUGAAAAUUUGUACAUUUAUUUUAGAAUAGUCGUAAACAUUUUGAUUACUAACGCAGAAGUUAAUCGAAAUAACUUCUAACGUGUCGUACUUUUUAUGCUUGGUCAUUGAUAAACUUUUAUUAUUAACAACUGUAUAGCUGUCUUGCGACAUAACUAUAUGUAGGUAACUGAUAUGUCUACUUGUAUAUUAUUGUAUACGGUCAACGAGAAAAGUAAGAUGUACCAGUUGUCCUACGUCAAAAACAUAAUCGAGAGGCGUAUUUGGGUUAUAAGUCCAAUAUAAUCUGACAAUUAGACAUCAGUGACAUUCUACAAUAACCAGUCCAAGGUCCGAUUAGAGAAAGUCCUAAAUCUAUGUUACGUAAAUCUAAAUAUAGAUUUUUACAUGG
rnacentral:misc_RNA from 1 species